rnacentral:tRNA from 1 species
AAUAGUAAUAGUUUAAAAUAAAACGUGAAGUUGCAAACUUUAAUAUCACUAUGUUACUAUUG